rnacentral:rRNA from 1 species
UUCUCCYGGUCCGACGGGACCGGGUAAGCCGCUGAACYUCCUYCGUGAYRGGGAUAGGGGAUUGUAACUGUUCCCCUCGAACGAGGAAUUCCUAGUAGUCGCGGAUCAUCAGUCCGCGGCGACUAGGUCCCUGCCCUUUGUACACACCGCCCGUCGCUACUACCGAUCGRACGWRUUAGUGAGGUCUUYGGACUGGCGUUCUCYCUGGGCRUCCGUCCGG